rnacentral:lncRNA from 1 species
CGAGGCCGCGCCCGCCGGCUGAGAGGAGGGCGGUGUGGAGCAAGAACGCGAAGGAGCCUGGGGGAGCCUAAGCCAAGAGGGACGUGGCGCUCUACGACGCGGACCGGGAAGCCGCGCCCCUUCCUUCUCUGGCUUUCAUGGAGAGGCCUGCGAAGCAGGAUUUGGGCGGGAUCCCACAGAACAUCAGCUGGCCAAGCUCUUCAUUGUGUUCAGAAGAAGGUAGAGGGAGGCAGGCAUGAGUAUUUACUGAAAAGAAAAUCCAUGAAGUCGAAGCUAUUUUAUAAUACUUAGAUGUUAUUUAUUGCAUGGAAUCAUCAUUGCUAACUGUAAAUAAAUCAAUAAAAGUCUUUAAAAUUUUCUUGGUUUGAUUUCCAAUAUGAUAAGUAUAAGUACAAAGGAAUCUGGAGACUAAAAACUUUGAGAAUCUCUGCUUUAGAACAAAAGCUAUUAUUUUUUCUUGAAAAACAAAA